UAAAUUGCCGUGGUAUUUUGACCAUGCUAAGGUAGCAUAAUCAUUUGGUUUUUAAUUGAGAUCUGGAAUGAAGGGUUGAACGAGAACUAUACUUUAUUAAUUUAAUGGAAGAACUUAUUUUUUAGGUGAAGAAACCUAAAUUUAUUAAUAGGACAAGAAGACCCUAUGAGCUUUAUUAGAAGACUAAAAUUUUUAGAACUAUAAUUUGGUUGGGGCAACCAAGGAAAUAACUUCCUUUAGUUUAUGAAUAGGAACAUUAUUAUAAUGAGAGAGAAGUUACCGUAGGGAUAACAGCAUAAUUUUUUUUUAGAGCUCAAAUCGAAAAAAAAGAUUGUGACCUCGAUGUUGGAUUGAGAUUUCCUUAAGGGGCAGAAAUUUAAAGGGUUGGUCUGUUCGACCAUAAAAAUCUUAC
rnacentral:rRNA from 1 species